GGUUAAGCGACUAAGCGUACACGGUGGAUGCCCUGGCAGUCAGAGGCGAUGAAGGACGUGCUAAUCUGCGAUAAGCGUCGGUAAGGUGAUAUGAACCGUUAUAACCGGCGAUUUCCGAAUGGGGAAACCCAGUGUGUUUCGACACACUAUCAUUAACUGAAUCCAUAGGUUAAUGAGGCGAACCGGGGGAACUGAAACAUCUAAGUACCCCGAGGAAAAGAAAUCAACCGAGAUUCCCCCAGUAGCGGCGAGCGAACGGGGAGGAGCCCAGAGCCUGAAUCAGUGUGUGUGUUAGUGGAAGCGUCUGGAAAGGCGCGCGAUACAGGGUGACAGCCCCGUACACAAAAAUGCACAUGCUGUGAGCUCGAUGAGUAGGGCGGGACACGUGGUAUCCUGUCUGAAUAUGGGGGGACCAUCCUCCAAGGCUAAAUACUCCUGACUGACCGAUAGUGAACCAGUACCGUGAGGGAAAGGCGAAAAGAACCCCGGCGAGGGGAGUGAAAAAGAACCUGAAACCGUGUACGUACAAGCAGUGGGAGCCUCUUUUAUGGGGUGACUGCGUACCUUUUGUAUAAUGGGUCAGCGACUUAUAUUCUGUAGCAAGGUUAACCGAAUAGGGGAGCCGAAGGGAAACCGAGUCUUAACUGGGCGUUAAGUUGCAGGGUAUAGACCCGAAACCCGGUGAUCUAGCCAUGGGCAGGUUGAAGGUUGGGUAACACUAACUGGAGGACCGAACCGACUAAUGUUGAAAAAUUAGCGGAUGACUUGUGGCUGGGGGUGAAAGGCCAAUCAAACCGGGAGAUAGCUGGUUCUCCCCGAAAGCUAUUUAGGUAGCGCCUCGUGAAUUCAUCUCCGGGGGUAGAGCACUGUUUCGGCAAGGGGGUCAUCCCGACUUACCAACCCGAUGCAAACUGCGAAUACCGGAGAAUGUUAUCACGGGAGACACACGGCGGGUGCUAACGUCCGUCGUGAAGAGGGAAACAACCCAGACCGCCAGCUAAGGUCCCAAAGUCAUGGUUAAGUGGGAAACGAUGUGGGAAGGCCCAGACAGCCAGGAUGUUGGCUUAGAAGCAGCCAUCAUUUAAAGAAAGCGUAAUAGCUCACUGGUCGAGUCGGCCUGCGCGGAAGAUGUAACGGGGCUAAACCAUGCACCGAAGCUGCGGCAGCGACACUAUGUGUUGUUGGGUAGGGGAGCGUUCUGUAAGCCUGUGAAGGUGUGCUGUGAGGCAUGCUGGAGGUAUCAGAAGUGCGAAUGCUGACAUAAGUAACGAUAAAGCGGGUGAAAAGCCCGCUCGCCGGAAGACCAAGGGUUCCUGUCCAACGUUAAUCGGGGCAGGGUGAGUCGACCCCUAAGGCGAGGCCGAAAGGCGUAGUCGAUGGGAAACAGGUUAAUAUUCCUGUACUUGGUGUUACUGCGAAGGGGGGACGGAGAAGGCUAUGUUGGCCGGGCGACGGUUGUCCCGGUUUAAGCGUGUAGGCUGGUUUUCCAGGCAAAUCCGGAAAAUCAAGGCUGAGGCGUGAUGACGAGGCACUACGGUGCUGAAGCAACAAAUGCCCUGCUUCCAGGAAAAGCCUCUAAGCAUCAGGUAACAUCAAAUCGUACCCCAAACCGACACAGGUGGUCAGGUAGAGAAUACCAAGGCGCUUGAGAGAACUCGGGUGAAGGAACUAGGCAAAAUGGUGCCGUAACUUCGGGAGAAGGCACGCUGAUAUGUAGGUGAAGUCCCUCGCGGAUGGAGCUGAAAUCAGUCGAAGAUACCAGCUGGCUGCAACUGUUUAUUAAAAACACAGCACUGUGCAAACACGAAAGUGGACGUAUACGGUGUGACGCCUGCCCGGUGCCGGAAGGUUAAUUGAUGGGGUCAGCGCAAGCGAAGCUCUUGAUCGAAGCCCCGGUAAACGGCGGCCGUAACUAUAACGGUCCUAAGGUAGCGAAAUUCCUUGUCGGGUAAGUUCCGACCUGCACGAAUGGCGUAAUGAUGGCCAGGCUGUCUCCACCCGAGACUCAGUGAAAUUGAACUCGCUGUGAAGAUGCAGUGUACCCGCGGCAAGACGGAAAGACCCCGUGAACCUUUACUAUAGCUUGACACUGAACAUUGAGCCUUGAUGUGUAGGAUAGGUGGGAGGCUUAGAAGUGUGGACGCCAGUCUGCAUGGAGCCGACCUUGAAAUACCACCCUUUAAUGUUUGAUGUUCUAACGUGGACCCGUAAUCCGGGUUGCGGACAGUGUCUGGUGGGUAGUUUGACUGGGGCGGUCUCCUCCUAAAGAGUAACGGAGGAGCACGAAGGUUGGCUAAUCCUGGUCGGACAUCAGGAGGUUAGUGCAAUGGCAUAAGCCAGCUUGACUGCGAGCGUGACGGCGCGAGCAGGUGCGAAAGCAGGUCAUAGUGAUCCGGUGGUUCUGAAUGGAAGGGCCAUCGCUCAACGGAUAAAAGGUACUCCGGGGAUAACAGGCUGAUACCGCCCAAGAGUUCAUAUCGACGGCGGUGUUUGGCACCUCGAUGUCGGCUCAUCACAUCCUGGGGCUGAAGUAGGUCCCAAGGGUAUGGCUGUUCGCCAUUUAAAGUGGUACGCGAGCUGGGUUUAGAACGUCGUGAGACAGUUCGGUCCCUAUCUGCCGUGGGCGCUGGAGAACUGAGGGGGGCUGCUCCUAGUACGAGAGGACCGGAGUGGACGCAUCACUGGUGUUCGGGUUGUCAUGCCAAUGGCACUGCCCGGUAGCUAAAUGCGGAAGAGAUAAGUGCUGAAAGCAUCUAAGCACGAAACUUGCCCCGAGAUGAGUUCUCCCUGACCCUUUAAGGGUCCUGAAGGAACGUUGAAGACGACGACGUUGAUAGGCCGGGUGUGUAAGCGCAGCGAUGCGUUGAGCUAACCGGUACUAAUGAACCGUGAGGCUUAACCUU
rnacentral:rRNA from 1 species